ACUAUUUUGGCAGAUAAAGUGCGAUAGAUUUAGGAUUUAUUCAUGCUCCAAGGCAAAUAGUA
rnacentral:tRNA from 1 species